rnacentral:rRNA from 1 species
AUUGAACGCUGGCGGCAGGCCUAACACAUGCAAGUCGAACGAGAGGCGGACGGGUUAGUAAUGUCUGGGAACCUGCGCGAGGGAUGGGGAUAAGUACUGGAAACGGUAGCUAAUACCGCCUACCAUCGGAUGUGCCCAGAUGGGAUUGGCGAGUAGGGGGGGUAACGGCUCACCAAGGCGACGAUCCGUAGUUGGUUUGAGAGGAUGACCAGCCACACUGGAACUGAGACACGGUCCAGACUCCUACGGGAGGCAGCAGUGGGGAAUAUUGCACAAUGGGCGCAAGCCUGAUGCAGCCAUGCCGCGUGUAUGAAGAAGGCCUUCGGGUUGUAAAGUACUUUCAGCGGGGAGGCGUUACUCGCAGAAGAAGCACCGGCUAACUCCGUGCCAGCCGCCGCGGUAAUAC